rnacentral:rRNA from 1 species
AGUUUGAUCAUGGCUCAGAUUGAACGCUGGCGGCAGGCUUAACACAUGCAAGUCGAGCGGAUGAAGGGAGCUUGCUCCUGGAUUCAGCGGCGGACGGGUGAGUAAUGCUUAGGAAUCUGCCUAUUAGUGGGGGACAACAGUUGGAAACGGCUGCUAAUACCGCAUACGCCCUACGGGGGAAAGCAGGGGAUCUUCGGACCUUGCGCUAAUAGAUGAGCCUAAGUCGGAUUAGCUAGUUGGUGGGGUAAAGGCCUACCAAGGCGACGAUCUGUAGCGGGUCUGAGAGGAUGAUCCGCCACACUGGGACUGAGACACGGCCCAGACUCCUACGGGAGGCAGCAGUGGGGAAUAUUGGACAAUGGGGGGAACCCUGAUCCAGCCAUGCCGCGUGUGUGAAGAAGGCCUUUUGGUUGUAAAGCACUUUAAGCGAGGAGGAGGCUACUUAGAUUAAUACUCUAGGAUAGUGGACGUUACUCGCAGAAUAAGCACCGGCUAACUCUGUGCCAGCAGCCGCGGUAAUACAGAGGGUGCGAGCGUUAAUCGGAUUUACUGGGCGUAAAGCGUGCGUAGGCGGCUUUUUAAGUCGGAUGUGAAAUCCCUGA